rnacentral:rRNA from 1 species
AUUGAACGCUGGCGGCAGGCCUAACACAUGCAAGUCGAGCGGAUGAAGGGAGCUUGCUCCUGGAUUCAGCGGCGGACGGGUGAGUAAUGCCUAGGAAUCUGCCUGGUAGUGGGGGAUAACGUCCGGACACGGGCGCUAAUACCGCAUACGUCCUGAGGGAGAAAGUGGGGGAUCUUCGGACCUCACGCUAUCAGAUGAGCCUAGGUCGGAUUAGCUAGUUGGUGGGGUAAAGGCCUACCAAGGCGACGAUCCGUAACUGGUCUGAGAGGAUGAUCAGUCACACUGGAACUGAGACACGGUCCAGACUCCUACGGGAGGCAGCAGUGGGGAAUAUUGGACAAUGGGCGAAAGCCUGAUCCAGCCAUGCCGCGUGUGUGAAGAAGGUCUUCGGAUUGUAAAGCACUUUAAGUUGGGAAGAAGGGCAGUAAGUUAAUACCUUGCUGUUUUGACGUUACCAACAGAAUAAGCACCGGCUAACUUCGCG